CGUAGGUAACCUGCCCCGGAGCGGGGGAGUAACAUUUGGAAACAGAUGCUAAUACCGCAUAACAAUAAAAGACCGCAUGGCUUUUAUUUGAAAGAUGGCUUUGGCUAUCACUCUGGGAUGGACCUGCGGUGCAUUAGCUAGUUGGUAAGGUAACGGCUUACCAAGGCGAUGAUGCAUAGCCGAGUUGAGAGACUGAUCGGCCACAAUGGAACUGAGACACGGUCCAUACUCCUACGGGAGGCAGCAG
rnacentral:rRNA from 1 species